AGUUUGAUCCUGGCUCAGAUUGAACGCUGGCGGCAGGCCUAACACAUGCAAGUCGAGCGGCAGCACGGGUACUUGUACCUGGUGGCGAGCGGCGGACGGGUGAGUAAUGCCUAGGAAUCUGCCUGGUAGUGGGGGAUAACGCUCGGAAACGGACGCUAAUACCGCAUAYGUCCUACGGGAGAAAGCAGGGGACCUUCGGGCCUUGCGCUAUCAGAUGAGCCUAGGUCGGAUUAGCUAGUUGGUGAGGUAAUGGCUCACCAAGGCGACGAUCCGUAACUGGUCUGAGAGGAUGAUCAGUCACACUGGAACUGAGACACGGUCCAGACUCCUACGGGAGGCAGCAGUGGGGAAUAUUGGACAAUGGGCGAAAGCCUGAUCCAGCCAUGCCGCGUGUGUGAAGAAGGUCUUCGGAUUGUAAAGCACUUUAAGUUGGGAGGAAGGGCAGUUACCUAAUACGUAAUUGUUUUGACGUUACCGACAGAAUAAGCACCGGCUAACUCUGUGCCAGCAGCCGCGGUAAUACAGAGGGUGCAAGCGUUAAUCGGAAUUACUGGGCGUAAAGCGCGCGUAGGUGGUUCGUUAAGUUGGAUGUGAAAUCCCCGGGCUCAACCUGGGAACUGCAUUCAAAACUGUCGAGCUAGAGUAUGGUAGAGGGUGGUGGAAUUUCCUGUGUAGCGGUAAAUGCGUAGAUAUAGGAAGGAACACCAGGGCGAAGGCGACCACC
rnacentral:rRNA from 1 species